rnacentral:rRNA from 1 species
GCAAGUAGAAAAUACUAAGGCGGCGGGUGAAGCCCUCUUAAGGAACUCGGCAAAUUAACCCCGUAACUUAGGGAAAAGGGGUGCCUUGGUUGGUGUAGGGAUUUACUCCCGAAGCUGAUUGAGGUCGCGGUGAAAGGGCCCAAGCGACUGUUUAACACAAACACAGGUCUCUGCCAAGCCGCAAGGCGAUGUAUAGGGGCUGACGCCUGCCCGGUGCUGGAACGUUAAGGGGAGGGCUUAGGAGCAAUCCGAAGGCUUAAACCGAAGCGCCAGUAAACGGCGGCCGUAACUAUAACGGUCCUAAGGUAGCGAAAUUCCUUGUCGGGUAAGUUCCGACCCGCACGAAAGGCGUAACGACUUGGGCACUGUCUCGAGAGGGGGCCCGGCGAAAUUGCAUUACCUGUGAAGAUGCAGGUUACCCGCAGCAAGACGGAAAGACCCCGUGGAGCUUUACUGUAGCUUGAUGUUGGAUUUUGGUCAGUUCUGUACAGGAUACGUGGGAGACAGUGAUGGCGUGACGCAAGUUACGUCGGAGUCGUUGUUGGGAUACCACGCUGAACUGGCUGGAGUUCUAACCAGACAAGUGAAUCCUUGUCUGGGACAGCGUCUGGUAGGCAGUUUGACUGGGGCGGUGCCUCCUAAAGAGUAACGGAGGCGUUCAAAGGUUCCCUCAGCCUGGUCGGGAAUCAGGCGCAGAGUGCAAGCGCAUAAGGGAGCUUGACUGCGAGACGAACAUGUCGAGCAGAGUGGAACCACGGAGCUAGUGAUCCGGCGGUGCCGAAUGGAAGGGCCGUCGCUUAUCGGAUAAAAGCUACCCCGGGGAUAACAGGCUUAUCGCGCCCAAGAGUCCAUAUCGACGGCGCGGUUUGGCACCUCGAUGUCGGCUCAUCGCAUCCUGGGGCUGUAAUCGGUCCCAAGGGUUGGGCUGUUCGCCCAUUAAAGCGGUACGUGAGCUGGGUUCAGAACGUCGUGAGACAGUUCGGUCCCUAUCUGCUGUGGGCGUAGGAGAAUUGAAGGGAUCUGACCUUAGUACGAGAGGACCGGGUUGGACAGACCUCUGGUGAACCAGUUGUGAUGCCAGUCGCAAAGCUGGGUAGCUAAGUCUGGAAGGGAUAAACGCUGAAAGCAUCUAAGCGUGAAGCCCACCUUAAGAUGAGUUCUCCCACCCGUAAGGGGUAAGAGCCCUGGAAGACUACCAGGUUGAUAGGUCGGAUGUGUAAGACCAGUAAUGGUUUCAGCUAACCGAUACUAAUCUCUCGAGGACC